rnacentral:rRNA from 1 species
CACGGGGAGCCCUAGCACAGGUGCUGCAUGGCCGUCGUCAGCUCGUGCCGUGAGGUGUUGGGUUAAGUCCCGCAACGAGCGCAACCCCCGCCGUUAGUUGCCAGCGGUUCGGCCGGGGCACUCUAACGGGACUGCCCGCGAAAGCGGGAGGAAGGAGGGGACGACGUCUGGUCAGCAUGGCCCUUACGGCCUGGGCGACACACGUGCUACAAUGCCCACUACAAAGCGAUGCCACCCGGCAACGGGGAGCUAAUCGCAAAAAGGUGGGCCCAGUUCGGAUUGGGGUCUGCAACCCGACCCCAUGAAGCCGGAAUCGCUAGUAAUCGCGGAUCAGCCAUGCCGCGGUCGAAUACGUUCCCGGGCCUU